AUUGAACGCUGGCGGCAGGCUUAACACAUGCAAGUCGAGCGGGGGAAGGUAGCUUGCUACCGGACCUAGCGGCGGACGGGUGAGUAAUGCUUAGGAAUCUGCCUAUUAGUGGGGGACAACAUCUCGAAAGGGAUGCUAAUACCGCAUACGUCCUACGGGAGAAAGCAGGGGAUCUUCGGACCUUGCGCUAAUAGAUGAGCCUAGGUCGGAUUAGCUAGUUGGUGGGGUAAAGGCCUACCAAGGCGACGAUCUGUAGCGGGUCUGAGAGGAUGAUCCGCCACGCUGGGAAUGAGAAACGGCGCAGACUCCUACGGGAGGCAGCAGGGGGGAAUAUUGGACAAUGGGGGGAACCCUGAUCCAGCCAUGCCGCGUGUGUGAAGAAGGCCUUAUGGUUGUAAAGCACUUUAAGCGAGGAGGAGGCUACUUUAGUUAAUACCUAGGGAUAGUGGACGUUACUCGCAGAAUAAGCACCGGCUAACUCUGUGCCAGCCGCCGCCGUAA
rnacentral:rRNA from 1 species